rnacentral:rRNA from 1 species
UAGGGAAUCUUCGGCAAUGGGGGGAACCCUGACCGAGCAACGCCGCGUGAGUGAAGAAGGUUUUCGGAUCGUAAAGCUCUGUUGUUAAGGAAGAACGAGUGUGAGAAUGGAAAGUUCAUACUGUGACGGUACUUAACCAGAAAGGGACGGCUAACUACGUGCCAGCAGCCGCGGUAAUACGUAAGGGGCGAGCGUUGUCCGGAAUUAUUGGGCGUAAAGAGUGCGUAGGCGGCAAAUUAAGUCAGAUGUGAAAACUAAGGGCUCAACCCAUAGAUUGCAUCUGAAACUGAUAUGCUUGAGUCAAGGAGAGGAAAGUGGAAUUCCUAGUGUAGCGGUGGAAUGCGUAGAUAUUAGGAGGAAUACCGGUGGCGAAGGCGACUUUCUGGACUUGAACUGACGCUGAGGCACGAAAGCGUGGGGAGCAAACAGG